rnacentral:rRNA from 1 species
GAUGAACGCUGGCGGCGUGCCUAAUACAUGCAAGUCGAGCGAACAGACGAGGAGCUUGCUCCUCUGACGUUAGCGGCGGACGGGUGAGUAACACGUGGAUAACCUACCUAUAAGACUGGGAUAACUUCGGGAAACCGGAGCUAAUACCGGAUAACAUGUUGAACCGCAUGGUUCAACAGUGAAAGACGGUUUUGCUGUCACUUACAGAUGGAUCCGCGUCGCAUUAGCUAGUUGGUAAGGUAACGGCUUACCAAGGCAACGAUGCGUAGCCGACCUGAGAGGGUGAUCGGCCACACUGGAACUGAGACACGGUCCAGACUCCUACGGGAGGCAGCAGUAGGGAAUCUUCCGCAAUGGGCGAAAGCCUGACGGAGCAACGCCGCGUGAGUGAAGAAGGUCUUCGGAUCGUAAAACUCUGUUAUUAGGGAAGAACAAAUGUGUAAGUAACUAUGCACGUCUUGACGGUACCUAAUCAGAAAGCCACGGCUAACUACGUG